UUAAUAUUUGUCAUAUUAUCCCUUAACUUUAACAAUUUUAAUUUUAAUAAAACACAACUUUCACUUUCAAUCAGCAUAACUGAGACAGUAUCGGUAUUGUUGGAGGAUGCCUUAACUUAGUGAUGGAGUUGUGGGUAAAAUGGAAAAUGUAUGAGAAAUUAAUUAAGUGUUUCUUCGUAAGGAAACCCAAUUGUGAAAUUAUCUUGUACCACCCAAAUAAUUGGUGGAUUAUUUUUCACAAAUUUGACUAAUUGAAUAUUGAUUACUAGAGAUGAGUUUCGAUAAUUAUUCAUUAUAUUAUAAUUAAACUCAGCAAUUUGCACCUGCACUGCUAAAUUACUAUGUUCUGUUGCCCUUUUCUUUUCCCUCUGGAUUAAUUAUUGCUGUUGAAUGAUAGAGGAUAUUUUUGUAGUUG
rnacentral:misc_RNA from 1 species